UGGGGAAUAUUGGACAAUGGGCGCAAGCCUGAUCCAGCCAUGCCGCGUGAGUGAUGAAGGCCCUAGGGUUGUAAAGCUCUUUCACCGGUGAAGAUAAUGACGGUAACCGGAGAAGAAGCCCCGGCUAACUUCGUGCCAGCAGCCGCGGUAAUACGUAGGUCCCGAGCGUUGUCCGGAUUUAUUGGGCGUAAAGCGAGCGCAGGCGGUUAGAAAAGUCUGAAGUGAAAGGCAGUGGCUCAACCAUUGUAGGCUUUGGAAACUGUUUAACUUGAGUGCAGAAGGGGAGAGUGGAAUUCCAUGUGUAGCGAUGAAAUGCGUAGAUAUAUGGAGGAACACCGGUGGCGAAAGCGGCUCUCUGGUCUGUAACUGACGCUGAGGCUCGAAAGCGUGGGGAGCGAACAGG
rnacentral:rRNA from 1 species